rnacentral:snRNA from 1 species
UGGUACAAUGCUCUUAUACA